GUGCUCGCUUCGGCAGCAAAUAUACUAAAAUUGGAACUAUACAAAGAAGAUUAACAUGGCCCCUGUGUGAAAGUAAGUCACAAGAAAUGGACUUUUCCAUU
rnacentral:snRNA from 1 species